AUAAUGGCAGUCACGAAGGAAAGCACCAAGACAGCGGUGCGGCUUUUGGUUUCCUUGCUCGUCGCAGGCCAGAAAGAGGGCUGAGGGAGGUGUCCGGCGAUUUCAGAUCGCGAGGAGGAACAAGGGUGUCUUCGGGGUCGACGAGACCGAAGGGGAGGAAGGGAGGAGCAGCGAGGAGCUGCUCAAGCAGCUUCUCGGCUCCAGCAUCGCGGUGCGAAGGAAGGGCAAUCAGCGACCGCUAGGUUUUUCGGCAGUGGAGCUCGACGGAGAAGAAGAAUGGUGCGAUGGGCGAAAAGGGAAAAAGAUUCAAGGACUUUCAGAUCGAGGGUUUGGUGUGGCUGUUUUUGGCUGCUCUUCUUCUGGUUCGAUUGGAAGUAAACGUGAUAGAAAUGGGAAACAGUUGGAUUGAAGGGUAAGGACGAAGCAGCAACCGAAAUCGAUGAAGUGUAAGAGGAUUGUUUUGUUUGGUGUUUGAUUUUUGACUGGGAAGAGAAGGAGAAGAAGGGUGUUGAGUGGGGAAGAAGGUAAACGUGACUGAAGCAACACUUUAGAUGAUCUUUAUUUGAUUGUAAUUGUAUAGAUUGUGGGUUGUAUUUAAUAGUUUAAUUGGUUAAAGGAUGUGUGCAAGCAGUCUUCAAUUUGAGUGGGGAAGAAGGUAAACGUGACUGAAGCAACACUUUAGAUGAUUUUUAUAGAUUGUGGGUUGUAUUUGAUAGUUUAAUUUGACAGUCAAAGACUUGCAAGUUACUUGGCUGUCAAAUUCUUUGUAUUUGGUAGUUUAAAAGAAUGAAUUUGGUGGUAUAAUGUUGUAUAUUCAUCCUUCUGGGACAUGGCUCUUCGUGUCUAAACGAGCACUACAUCUGCCUUCCUAUCUGUAACUGUGAGUUAUGUAAUGUGUACCAUGAGUGGCAUAAUAAUUCCUGAUAUAAUGUAUAUUCUUUUUCUUCUCUAA